GUCAUCUAUUUUUUUUUUGGUCCAAGGUGUUUAUAGAUGAAGUAUGUCGGGAAGUGAUUUCAUUUUUAAGGGCUUGCUGUAGAGGAUUGAAGUGCAAUCUUGAGUGCUAGCUGUUUUCUCAAAAAUCUUGUGCGGUAGCUCUCUUUAUUUCUCAAGGAAAAAGUGUGAGAGGAGUGGUAGGUCUGCUGAACAGCGUUCGGCCCCAUGGAGAUCGGGGUAUGGAUGACCUGCUUCACUGUAGAUCUAUGCAGAAGAAGAUUUGAUUGUAAAGAGAGUGCUACGAUUUGGAGGAUUCGAAGGGAUGACAAAAACAUUGAAUCUCGCUUCCUCAUCAAAACUAAAUUGGGCAUGGGAGGUUUCGGCAAAAAUAUGAUUAUGCAGCUGGUCCACUGGAGAAAAAAAUAGUUAUUCGUUCCUAGAUAUGAAUAGAAGUGCACUAGUCCUCGACGACAUUUGGAAUGAGAAUUAAAAAUAUUUGAUAAGUCGUUUAGAAAUCAGUAACGGAUUUAAGCAUACUAAUUUUGGAUGAUGUUUGGGAUGUACAUGCAAAAUAUUUAAUGAUAAAUGAAAGAUCCGUAUUUUUUAUUAUGAAUCUUGGUGCACGAUUGCUGGACGAUGUUUGGAAUGAACAUGCGAAAUGUUUUAAAAGAUCAGCUGAUUACGUAAAAGAUGCACAAUAUUUUUAUGUAUGAAAGAUCACUUUUUCGCCAAACAAAGAGUCUUUGGUCAAUUUUUCGCUCACAUGAUGCACUUAUAUCAGCUACCAGUUGGAAAAUUUGCAGACUUUUGAAACAUUCUGAUGCAGAAUUUGCUAUUGAUCUUUGAUGCAAAGUUUCUAUGUAGCAGUUGGUUCUUUCUUUUAUGGCGUCCCCUAGCUCUUGCCAUGCUUGUAUGUAGUUUCAAUAUUCUUAAGCAUUCUAUGCCAAAGAGUACUUCCGAAAAAACUUCAGAAUAACCUUCUUGGCUAUGAAGAUGAUGCUAGCGACAAGCAUUAUGUGCUUUCUCGCCAUCUGCCUAGGCCCCUCUGUCAUGAUGGAAGUGAUUGAAACUAUAGGCUUUUUGGUGUAUCACGCAUCCAUUCAAAUCGUUAGCUGAUUCCAAUUUCAUUCUAGAACUUCAAAAGUGAGAAGGAACAUUGUUUAUAUAUAUUUGAGCUUAAGUGCUUCAGAUAGAGCCUCUUGCAUAAAGCGUAUGAGUAGCCACAUUGAAUGCAUGGAGAGAUUUGAGGAGGUAACUUUAUGUACUAUUAAAAAACUAUGGGUCCAUCUCUGCUUUAUAUUUUGUCUUUCACAUUAUACUGCAUUAAUUUGUUGUUGUUCUUUACAAAAGAGUAUCCGGUAAGUAAACUCGAAAAAAGGAGCCAAUCAAGACGAAGUAAUCCAUGUUCACUCAUGCAUGCAACAGUGGAGGCCUAUGAAAGAUGCAUCAUGAAAAACAAUAGACUAAAAUUUCGUAGAGAAGCGCUAUCCAAGACGGUCUCCCACGACAUGGGACAAGAUAGAUAUAAGCAUAUGUGCACUUGCAUGGAGGAGCCCCUUUCUGCUCUUUGUGGUCAAACUCCUAGCUAUGCUGGGGCCAUGAG